CUGCCGUCGAGCUUGAGCUGGGUCAAGCUCAUCCACGGCCAGGCGUGGCGUUUAUCGGUCCGGAGAGCAGGGUGUGGCUCAGUCAGCACCGGUCACGUACGUAAACGCACCAUGCACCAGUACCACACAUCAGUGACGCCAGGGAGUUGCAAGAGGAUAAGGCAAUCGUAUCCCCAUGACUCCGUUUGCUACGGUACGCAUGCAGCUAGCACAGCCGGCCGAAGCUCUGCUCUCAGCUCGACAACAAUGGCGAGAGCCUGCAAGUGCAGCCCCGCGGUGAGGCUGCUGCCGUAUCCGAUCACAGCACAGCUGGCGGGCAGCAGGAGCCACGGAAGAUGCAGAAGCCUCGCCGUUCACGCGCAGCUCCCAACCGAGGAUGAUUACCCCGCCGAGUCACCGAAAAGGGUCCAGGUUACACAGAGCCUCAGGAGGAGGCGCCGGAGGGGGCCCGGCGCGCGGCAGAGCCUGGUGUCCGUCGGGACGUCGCGCGGCGGAGGGGAUCAGUGGAGCAGCGACUUCGAGCUGACGCUCCGGCAGCUGAGGCUGGACGACCUGAUCGAGGAGGGGCAGAGCGACGCCGACGUCCUGGUGCACCUUCUAGUCCAGCAGGUAACUGACAGAGAAAAUAUGCACCGAGCAAGUGAGCAGCUGCCUGAUAGCUGUGAGAUGUUCGUCUGCUUUCAGCACACCCAGUUCGGAAUGUCGAUCAAAGGGCGAGUGGUCACAUCGCUCACCAAAAUAUGCGAUUCCUGCUCCGCCCCAUACUGCACAAAGAUUGAUGAGCAGUUCGACAUUACGGUGCUGUCUUCCUCCAGGAAAGACCAGAGCGGCUUGCCUGAAAUCGGAGACAGCGAUCCGUCAAGCAGGUCAUGUAUGUGAAGCCAGGAACAGAAAUCGAUAUCGACUCGUCAAUCCAAGAGACAAUACGACUAACAGCGUCAGCCAAGAGUUCAUGUUCGGAGGCGUGUGAGAAGUCUCCUGUCGUGUGGAAACGUGCUGGUAACCAGAAGAAGCGUUACAGCCAAACGUGGUCAAAACUUCUUGAUCUCAAGAGAACUCUGGAUAAGGCGCACAGCUAAAUUACUGUUGGCGAUGCAGUUUCAACUCGAUGCCACUGAUUAUCUGAUAUGAAUGCCACAGUGUGAUAUAUCGAACAAAAAGCUCGUGUGACCGGAUGAUUAAUCAACGGACAUGGUUAUCCAGUGAUUGCUUCUCUCCAUAAUACUUUAGUUAACUGUAUACUCACAGAGACUACUGUACUAGACUAUAACAAACCAUUUUUUCUUUCCUCGAAUAUAUUUCCUGUGGGAAACUAUGUAUGAAAUCAGAAUAUUCUUUUGAGGAAUAUAUGAAUUCAGAAGUCAUUCCACAACUA